UACGUAGGGUGCGAGCGUUAAUCGGAAUUACUGGGCGUAAAGCGUGCGCAGGCGGUCUGUUACGCCCGAUGUGAAAUCCCCGGGCUUAACCUGGGAACUGCAUUGGUGACUGGCAGGCUUUGAGUGUGGCAGAGGGAGGUAGAAUUCCACGUGUAGCAGUGAAAUGCGUAGAGAUGUGGAGGAAUACCGAUGGCGAAGGCAGCCUCCUGGGCCAACACUGACGCUCAUGCACGAAAGCGUGGGGAGCAAACAGG
rnacentral:rRNA from 1 species